CUGCGGAAGGAUCAUUACCUAGAGUUUGUGGGCUUUGCCCGCUACCUCUUACCCAUGUCUUUUGAGUACUUACGUUUCCUCGGCGGGUUCGCCCGCCGACUGGACAAAAUUAAACCCUUUGUAAUUGAAAUCAGCGUCUGAAAAACAUAAUAGUUACAACUUUCAACAACGGAUCUCUUGGUUCUGGCAUCGAUGAAGAACGCAGCGAAAUGCGAUAAGUAGUGUGAAUUGCAGAAUUCAGUGAAUCAUCGAAUCUUUGAACGCACAUUGCGCCCCUUGGUAUUCCAUGGGGCAUGCCUGUUCGAGCGUCAUUUGUACCUUCAAGCUAUGCUUGGUGUUGGGUGUUUGUCUCGCCUUUGCGUGUAGACUCGCCUCAAAACAAUUGGCAGCCGGCGUAUUGAUUUCGGAGCGCAGUACAUCUCGCGCUUUGCACUCAUAACGACGACGUCCAAAAGUACUUUUUACACUCUUGACCUCGGAUCAGGUAGGG
rnacentral:rRNA from 1 species